UACGUAGGGUGCGAGCGUUGUCCGGAAUUACUGGGCGUAAAGGGCGCGUAGGCGGCCUGCUAAGUCGAACGUGAAAUCCCCGGGCUCAACCCGGGAACUGCGUCCGAUACUGGCAGGCUUGAAUCCGGGAGAGGGAUGUGGAAUUCCAGGUGUAGCGGUGAAAUGCGUAGAUAUCUGGAGGAACACCGGUGGCGAAGGCGGCAUCCUGGACCGGUAUUGACGCUGAUGCGCGAAAGCCAGGGGAGCAAACGGG
rnacentral:rRNA from 1 species